GGCGUGGGAGAGGGAGGCCUAAGAAGCAUUGGGGAGAGGUGAUUAGGCAGGACAUGGCCAGAAUGCAGGUUACCGAGGACAUGCCUCUUGAUAGGGGAGUCUGGAGGUCUAGAAUCAAGAUUGUAGGUUAGGGUCUCAUAAGUGAUUAGUGUUUUAGUAUGAUAGUUCCUGCUUGAUAUUACUGCAUGCGACUGUAUUUAUGUUGCUUAUAUUUUCAUAACUAUAUACGUUACUUUUGUGGGAGUACCUAUGCUUGAUUAUUUGAUUUUGUCUUGCUUGUGUUUCUAAUUUUAUCUCUGUUUCUUAAUGCAGCUUCCCC
rnacentral:lncRNA from 1 species